ensembl:rRNA 5S_rRNA 5S ribosomal RNA
GUCUCAGGCCGUAUCAGCCUGAAGGCGCCCGAUCUCGUCUGGUCUCGGAAGCUAAGCAGGGUCGGGCCUGGUUAGGAUCUUGGAUGGGAGACCACCUGGGAGUCCCUGGUGCUCGAGGCU